AAACGAGUUCCUCCCUCUGGGCAAACAUUGACUCGGAAGUGGAAUGCUGAAGCGAACAGACAUCUGUGCGACAGAAACCCUAUCUGAUUUAAAACAGGAAGUAGGCACGUCCUGUUUUCAAAUGAGCAGACAUACAUUAUUUACUAGCUGCCUAACGGACAACACAGGAAAACGAGACAUCAGAGUACACAAAAGCUUCGGCCGACACCAUGAAGAUCGCAUCUUUUAACAUCAGACGUAUGGGUCCAAGCAAGCUGUCAGACCAAAAUAUUGUAAAAU